GACGUAGGGCGCGAGCGUUGUUCGGAAUUACUGGGCGUAAAGGGCGUGUAGGCGGCCAACUAAGUCCGACGUGAAAUCCCCAGGCUUAACCUGGGAACUGCGUCGGAUACUGGAUGGCUUGAAUCCGGGAGAGGGAUGCAGAAUUCCAGGUGUAGCGGUGAAAUGCGUAGAUAUCUGGAGGAAUACCGGUGGCGAAGGCGGCAUCCUGGACCGGCAUUGACGCUGAAGCGCGAAAGCUAGGGGAGCAAACGGG
rnacentral:rRNA from 1 species